rnacentral:rRNA from 1 species
UACAGAGGUCUCGAGCGUUUGAUCGGAAUUAUUGGGCUUAAAGGGUGCGUAGGCGGCGCCGUAAGUGCCUUGUGAAAUCCCAUGGCUCAACCAUGGAAUUGCUCGGUAGACUGCGGCGCUUGAGGUUGGUAGGGGUCGCUGGAACUCUAGGUGGAGCGGUGAAAUGCGUAGAUAUCUAGAGGAACGCCAAAGGUGAAGACAAGCGACUGGGCCAAUUCUGACGCUGAGGCACGAAAGCGUGGGUAGCGAACGGG